rnacentral:rRNA from 1 species
UACGUAGGGUGGCAAGCGUUAAAUCGGAAUUACUGGGCGUAAAGCGUGACGCAGGCGGUUUUGUAAUGUCUGUCGUGAAAUCCCCGGGACCGUCAACCUGGGAACUUGGUGAUGGAGACUGCAAGGCUAGAAUCUGGCAGAGGGGGGGUAGAAUUCCACGUGUAGCAGUGAAAUGCGUAGAGAUGUGGAGGAACACCGAUGGCGAAGGCAGCCCCCCUGGGUCAAGAUUGACGCUCAUGCACGAAAGCGUGGGGAGCAAACAGG